rnacentral:tRNA from 1 species
CAAGACGUAGCUUAACUAAAGCAUUCAGCUUACACCUGAAAGAUGUCUGCUAGCCCCAGAUCGUCUUGA